CUCUGAAUGAGAGAAACAGCAACCCCAGACAAUUGUUUCGGCCUUUUUUGGGCCUUGUCAGCGAGGUGUAGCUGAUACCCCUUUAGGCACAUCUGAAUUAUCCUUUUGACUUGGUUCCUUUAGAAACAGUUUUCUUUUCAAAUCAUGUAUUCCCUCACAGUCCCACCAAAUGUGGUCAAUAGUUCAUAAUUCUUUAUGACAUCUCCAACAACUCGAUGAAUGGUAUUUCGAAAUUCUAUGAAGUCUAAGAAGAACCAUAAACCGAUACAGAUCAUUUUUAAAAUGUAAUUCUAACAGGGCAAUACAAUGAAUGCUCUGCUUUACUCAUAGGGUAUACAGCAGAACUUUUUAGGGCCCUACAUGAUAGGAAGUCCCUCUGGUGGCCGUCUGAGUGACAGCCACUGGAGAUAUUCCUAUCAAUUAAUGUAAACACUGUAUUUUCUCUGAAUAGUGAUUCCCCAAAAAGGGAGAAAGAGACUGGUAAAACAAG